rnacentral:pre_miRNA from 1 species
AGUAAAGAAGAAACCGCACAUAAUUCGGGUUUCGGGACGAUGGAACCGUGAUUACAGUUGGUUCGUUGUCGACGAAACCUGCAAAAUGUGCGGUAAACUUCGACC